rnacentral:lncRNA from 1 species
GAGAUCCUUAUUUUAAGGAAUUGACUUAUGUAACUAUGGGGACUGGCAAGUCUGAAAUCUGUAUGACAGGCCUGCAGACUAGAAAUUCAGGCAAGAGUUGAUGUUGCAUUCUUGAGUUCAAAUUCUGCGGGACAGCAGUCUGUAACUUCAGGCAGGGUUCCUUUGUUGCAGUUAGAGGAAAGUUUCUUUUCCAGGAAACCUCAGUCUUUGCUCUCAAGCUCUUCAAUUGAUUGGAUGAGGACCACCCACAUUAUGGAGGCUAAUCUGUUUUAUUCACUGUCUACUGAUUCACAUGUUAAUCACACUUAAAAAAAAUACCUUCAUGGUAACACAUGGGCUGGUAUUUGACCAAACAGAACCAUAGCCUAAUCAAGAUGAUGCAUACAAUUAACCAUUGGAGGUACUUUUGGGAGUGCAUGUGCUACUUGAAGCCAUGUUUUAUGGCUUCCUUUUGGCUCAGAUGGAAUUUUUCAACAUUUUAUGAGAGGGAGCCGACUAGGGUUCUAGGCCUACUGCUCGUCACCCUUCAGAGUAAGGCACUGGCCUGGACUAUAACCCUGAUGAACAGUGUGCCCCAAUUUCUCUGCCCAGAAAGUAUGAUAACUAAGUUUCCUUUAGCCCUAAUAUUCCACUCUAAGGAUCAAGUAAUCCCUGUCUGUAAAAUGGGAGUCGUAAUACUAACACAUAGCAGGAGUUGACUGUACACCAGCACAGCUGAACCUGCUUUACAUGAAAUAACUAAUUUAAUCAUCCAACAAUCCUAUUAGAUAGUAGCUAUUUCUCUUCCCAUUUUACAGAUGAGGAAACUAAGAUAUGGAGAGAUUAACUUUGCCCAAGGUCACACAGCUAGUCAGUGGCAGAGCCAGGCUUUGAAUCUGUAUAGUGUGUGUCCACCACAUGAUGCUAUCUCUUCAGACCAUCUUGCAGAGCUAGGGUGGAGAAAGAAUGAGGUAAUGGAUCUGCAAACACUCUGUGUGCACUAAGGACCUAUGGGAUCAUUACUAUUUAAUGGUUUGUUCCAUGAGCAACCCCUCUAGGAUGGAGUCUCAUAACUGAAUUCUGACUGCCGCUAGUCUAUUGUCAAGUACACACCAAAUGCAGUUGAUGUGCAGUCAAUAGCAGGGUGAUGGAAUGAAUCAAGGAUGUGCAAACAAACAGCUGCUUGAUGAGAUCUCAAUUUUGAGUCCAUUUCCUGGUGAAUGUGGAUGGAAGAAGUCAACCCUAUGUCCCUCUUAUCUCUGUGAAAAAAUCAGAACAUCUCCCAGCAGUUCAUAUUUACCUGUUAUACUCCUUUGUCAAUUUCUUGAAAAAUAAAGCACUACUUGUGUUUUCUUUUCUCAAUGCACAAACACUCAAGAUAGUUCAGGAGGCAUAUCUCCCUAGUGAUAGGAGGCCCAAGUGCUGUCUGAGCCACUGGGCAUAAGAAUAUGAGGCUAUAUAUUUGCUCCCACAGCAAGAGAGGAAGUGAGAGAUCUAGGGUCCUUGAGAAGACCUCACAGUAGCCCUUCCAACUCCAAAGCUGCCAAGAGAAGCCCAUUCCUGGACUGGCAGACCUUUGCUUCAGAACUUAUUCUGGCUACAUGAAUGCUUUUGGUGCAAGGGUCUGAGGAGGUGAAGGGGCAGCUGAAGGUAAUUUGAAGAUCCUGUUUAAUGAUUCUCCUUUGGUUUCCCUGUCAUUUUAUUGUCAUUCAUGUCUUCCAAGGUGAUACCCUUCCAGACCUGAAGCCCAUCCCCAAGUAUGCUCUCUAGGGAAAGAGGAAGCUCCUGGAGACAUGGGCUAUUGCCAUGAUAUUCCACCUCAGUCAGAAUCUUCACCAGCUCUGCUUUCUUUCUUUCACUAGGACAAGAAAGGCCUUUAUCUGCUGAUACAGCUGGGUAGGAGACACACUAUAGAUCUAUAUGCUAAGAUGUAUAGGUCUAAGUUUCCAUAAUGCAGAGUUUAUAUUACAGCCAUUCUUUCCUCAUUGCUCAUUCCUUGCUCCUUGUAGGCACCUCACUAGAAGCCUACCUGUGCCUUGGCUGGCAUAUUCUGCUCUUUUUCAUUUUUCUUGGCACUCUUCUUCUUCUUCUUCUUUUUUUUUUCUUUUUAGAGCAGGAAAGGCAGGGAGGGGCAGAGAGAAAGGGAAAGAGAGAAUCUUCAGCAGGCUCCAUGCCGAGUGUGGAGCCUGAUGUGGGACUCAAUCUCAUGACCCUGAGAUCAUGACCUGAGCUGAAAUCAAGAGUCUGACUCUUAAUCAACUGAGCCACUUAGAUGGAUGCCCCUCUUGGCAUUCUUGACUACCCACUCUGUGUCAGACACUGCUAGUCAUCCAUCCUCUUUUUUUUCCUUACCAACAGAUCCAUAGUUAGUGCAGGGCAGCAGUGUGUCUAAUUAGACCUAUCCUUUGUAGUUAGAGGAACCAUGGGAUCCAGUUCUAGUUAAUGGGAUGUAAGCAGAGCCUACUAACUGGGACUUUCAGGCAACUUAAUUUAUUCCUGAUCAGUAGGGAAAACAAUUCACCUUUCCCCUUUGCCCUUUCCCUUCUUCCUGCCUGGAACACAGAGGAUGAGCUAUUUCUUGUGACCAUGAACAUAAAAACCACAAACAGGAACUAGAGGACUAGGGAGCUGGAAGGAGCCUGAGUCCUUGAAAGCGUCCUCAAGCUGUCACAGUAGCAUUGGAUUGCCUACUUUUGGACUCCUUGUUGUGUGAGGGAGGGUUUCCAUUGUGAGCAGCCAACUGUAAUCCAGACUGAUACAAUUUCUUAAGAAAGAGAGUUUAAGAAAAUCUCUCAUCUUUCUUAUUCAUAAUGAUGAAUUCCUGCCUGUCUGUCCUUGGCUAGCUCCUUUUCCUCCCGCUGCACUGACUUCCCACCAGCAAUGAGUGGGCCAAGUUAAGGCAUCCUUGAUGUCCCAGCAGGCAGGCUGUCCCUUAUUAGCAUAGUCACAUUUCCAGGCUUAUAUGUCUUGCCCUAAUCUGGGGGGUGAUUUGUGGUGGCUCAAGUAUGUAGGAGAUGACUGCAUUCUGUGAAGAAAAUAGCAUCUCAGUCACAUGGAUACCAGGAACCUCUGCAUAGUUUGGCUACCUUGAUUUAUCCAGUAAUGGAAAAGCAGUCUUUUUAAAAUUAUCUAAACUUUGAGUUUUGAAGACACCUGUUCCAUGUCACUCUCCAGUGGUUUGCAUAUUGGAUUUGGUCAUAAAUCUCUGGCUGUCCUAGGACAAAAGUGGCAAAUAUCUGAUUCUUUUGAUACCAUUCUUUCUUCUACCCCUUUGGUGGAAAUUGUGACUUAGUUAUGUUAUUCUUUUGUUUGUUCAUUUAUUUUGAGUCCAAAGUGUUUCAGAAUCUCGCUAAAAACCUUGCUUAAGAAAGCCAUUCCUCUAUCUCCAAGUCCACGUGGAAAAAGACACUUGAGUGCAGAUUUUUGUGCUUCUUCCAAAAGGUCUUAGGGCUUCUUUAGGUCUGGAAUGCAAGGAUGUUAUGCCUUUGGGAUACUUCUUUUGGGCUAAGACCCAAAAGUUGCUAGGCAGACCAAGGAAAUGAAGGGAUAAUGAUAUUCUCUUUUCCAACUGUCCCUUUUCAUCUUUGUAUCUAAUCCUCCUAACUCCCCAAAUUAAAGCAUCUGUGUCCAUCGUCCUGAGCUGAGGUGGGAAGAUGAGCAGGACCAGAGCAGAGGGGGAGCUCAUCAGAGACAGCACAUUCUGAAGAUUGGCAAAAAGGAAGUGUGACAGCCAACUUCUUGGAAGGGGACCGCAGAACUGUAAUUAAAUUUUCUGAUCUUGUUAGCCAAUUUCUUCACUCACUGCCCCUGAACCAGAGAACGGGGAGGGAGGAAGGACACUGUUGCAUCAGUGGCGGCGGGGAGGGAAAUGAGCUUUUCACGGAUUAUUGGGUUAGUUCCACUUCUUCCACUUUUUAAUUUAUUUGUCUGCAUGUUCUCUAGAGCUGAAAAGGCUCCAAGUCCUUUUCCAUUUUCUUUUAAUUAGAUCUGAUUUUGGAGUCUGGAAACUUGGGAGGGGCUCAGGUCACAAUAGCAGGAUGACAACAGUUGGAAGGCCCUCUUCUUCCUGUUAGAUCUUUCUGAACUCUUUUUUCAGAAUUUAAGACUCUUAAUGAUGAGUUUCUUUUUUCUUUGAGUUUCUUUCUUUAAUGGUACUGUUUGCAUUGUUUAGUACCUUAUCCCAUUUUGCCAUCUAAUGGUUAAAAAUAAUGAACAUUCCUCACAAAUUUCAAAAAAAAGAGUAUACAUAUAUUUUUACAGACCAUUCCUUCAUAUCACUUUUCUGUGUGAUGGAACACAGGCGAGGGAAGUCUGUUGUGGUCCCCCUGGGUUUCCAGGAGGAGUAAUGCCAACUCUACAUUCUCUCUUCUUUGAAGCAGAAAGAAAGAAA